AUACAGCUGGUGAGUUCCGAACAAGACGAAACGCGCGUCCUGGAU
rfam:Schistosoma mattheei strain Denwood, Zambia genome assembly, scaffold: SMTD_scaffold0000862